UACAUGGGGUGCAACCGUUGCUCGGAAUCAUUGGGCGUAAAGCGCGCGUAGGCGGUUAUUUAAGUUGGAUGUGAAAGCCCUCGGCUUAACUGAGGAAGUGCAUCCAAAACUGAACAGCUAGAGUACGAAAGGGGGUCGCGGAAUUCCCGGUGUAGAGGUGAAAUUCGUAGAUAUCGGGAGGAACACCGGUGGCGAAGGCGGCGACCUGGGUCGAGACUGACGCUGAGGCGCGAAAGCGUGGGGAGCAAACAGG
rnacentral:rRNA from 1 species